GUGGUUUAAUUCGUAAGCAACGCGAAGAACCUUACCAGGUACUUGUACAUUGGUGUUUAAUACCCUAGAGAUAGGAGAUAAGUAAGCACACGACAGGUGGUGCAUGGUUGUCGUCAGCUCGUGUCGUGAGAUGUUGGGUUAAGUCCCGCAACGAGCGCAACCCUUGUCUUUAGUUACCAUCAUUAAGUUGGGGACUCUAGAGAGACUGCCGGUGAUAAACCGGAGGAAGGUGGGGAUGACGUCAAAUCAUCAUGCCCCUUAUGACCUGGGCUACACACGUACUACAAUGGCGCAUACAACGAGCUGCAAGAUGGUGACAUCAAGCGAAUCUCUUAAAAUGCGUCUCAGUUCGGAUUGGAGUCUGCAACUCGACUCCAUGAAGUCGGAAUCGCUAGUAAUCGCGGAUCAGCACGCCGCGGUGAAUACGUUCCCGGGCCUU
rnacentral:rRNA from 1 species